UCAAUUGCUAAGUUUCUCGAAGAUUCAGAUAUUGAUUUUAUACUAUUUGAUUUUGUCUCUUAUUGGCUUCCUUCAAUUGCUUCAAAAUUCAACAUUCCGACGGGUUAUUUCAGCAUAUUCGUCGCUGCAUAUCUAGGUUUCACUGGACCUGUACCGGGAUUGAACAACAACUAUGAAAUUCGGAUGACGUUGGAGGAAUUGACAGUUUCCCCAAAAUGGGUUCCGUUUGAAACUGCCGUUGCUUUCAAGGAGUUUGAACUUUUGAGGAUCUACGAAGGUUGUAAAGAAGGCGAGGAAGAGAACUUUUAUGAUAUUUCUCGUAUGUAUAAGACUUUUGAAAAUUGUGAUUUUUUACUUGUGAGAAGUUGUUUAGAAUUUGAACCGGAAUGGCUGAAAGUAGUAGAGGAUAUUCACCCAAAACCAGUGAUCCCGGUGGGCCAACUUCCGACGACAUCAUAUGAAGAUGACAACACAGAUAUUGACGCGUGGAGAGAAAUAAAAUUAUGGCUUGAUAAGCAAGAAAAAGGGAAAGUAAUCUAUGUGGCAUUUGGGAGCGAGGCAAAACUGAGUCAAAAUGAACUCACUGAGUUAUCACUAGGAUUAGAGCUUUCUGGAUUACCUUUUUUUUGGGUUUUAAGAACUAAAAGAGGAGAAUCUGAUAAUGAAUUGAUUCAACUACCAGAAGGUUUCGGAGAACGAACGAAGGAAAGAGGAAUAGUGUACACGAGUUGGGUGCCACAACUUAAAAUACUGAGUCAUGAUUCGGUGGGUGGUUUUUUGACUCAUGCCGGAUGGAGUUCAAUAGUUGAAGCAAUACAAUUCGAGAAACCAUUGCUUCUGUUGACAUUUUUGGCUGAUCAAGGAAUAAAUGCUAGGCUCUUGGAGGAAAAGAAGGUAGCAUAUCUGAUACCGAGAAAUGAUUGGGACGGAUCAUUCACUCAUAACGCGGUGGUUGAGUCACUAUAUUUGGUACUCCUUGAAAAAGAGGGUGAAAUUUAUCGAAAAAAGAUCAAAGAGGUUAAGAAUCUUUGCUGUGACAAGAAAAGACAAGAUGAUUAUGUGGAAAAUUUGUUAAGGUUUCUUCAAAAUUAUAAAAAGAUAAAAGUAUAAAAUAGGAAGUAACAUUUACAUUUGCAUGCAUUUUUUGAAGAAUUGUGAUUUCAUGAAUAAAGAUGUUUUAUUUUUCUUUUUAUGUACUAUAACAAAAUGUAUUGUAAAGGCGUAAAAAUUGCUUUGAUUUUUAUUUCACUACAUCAAAAAUAAUUAUUAGUGACAAUAAAAUUAAAUAAAUCGAGCACCAUUUUAAGAAAACUCAUUCACUAUCUCUAUCACUAAUCACCCUUUCUUCGUUGUCUCUCUCUCUCUAUAUAACCAUGGUUAGUUGUUAGUUGUCUCUCUCUAUAACCAUGGUUAGUUGUUAGUUGUCGCCAUCACCUCCCCCACCAUCUUGUCUUUCCUAUUCUCUUUCUCUGCCCCUACCAUGCAACACAAAAUACUAUUUUAACCCUUGGUCUUCCCAGCAUCUUGUUUGGAUGAUUGUUAUUCAUUCUAUCGUUGAUUUAAAUAUCAUAUUCUCUUUAUUUUGAAAAUAAUGAUUUGAUGCGAAAUUAAGAAAAUAAAGAAGAUUUUAAAUCUUGUGGUCUCAAAUUAAAUUUACGUCAAAUGUAUCAAAAUACACUUUGAUUUCGUUGUCUUAAACAUGUCAGGUAGAAACUUGAAUUACAUAUUGCCAAAAAAGAGUCAUUCUUUUUUUAAACGAACGGAAUAUUUUUUUUAUUGUUACUUAAACUUUAUUGUAUAGUAUUAUUUGAAUAAGUCAUUUAAUAACGAUGAAGAGUUUCAUUUUACCAAGACUCAGUGGAUGGAUUUUGACUCAUUCGGAAUGUAGUUCAAUAGUUGAAGCAAUACAAUUUGAGAACCCAUUGGUUUUGUUGAUAUUUUUGGCUGAUCAAGCGAUAAAUGGUUGGUUCUCGAAGGAGAAUAAGAUAUAUUCAAUACCAAGAAAUUAAAUGAUUGGGAUGGAUCGUUCAUUCUUAACGCGGUGAUCGAGUCACUAAGUUUGGUACUCGUUGAAAAAAAAGGUGAAAUUUACCGAGAAGAGAUUAAAGAGGUGAAAGAUCUUUUUUGUGACAAGAAAAAACAAGAUAAUUAUGUGGAGAAUUUGUUAAAUUUUCUUCAAAAUUUAUAAGAUGAUUAAAGCAUGAAAUGGGAAGAAAAACUAGGGUUUUUGCAUUUACAUUUCCUUAAUUUUGAUUUCAGAUCAAUUUAUAUACACCUUGAUUAUUUUAUCGGAUAUCAAUUAUGUCCACCACAAAGGUCACUCAUUAUGCAAGUGGAUUGACAAACAUGUGAAAAUAUCUUCUUUAUGAAAAAUCAAUCAGCCAACCAUCAAGAUAAAAAUACAGUACACUAAAUUAAUGACAAAUACUAAUAGACCUCUAACAGAUCACACAAAAAUGGCGAAAAAUAGCAAAAUGUUGCAUAUUGGAGUAUUUCCAUGGUUAGCUUUUGGUCAUAUGAUUCCGUAUUUAGAGCUUUCGAAGCUAAUUGCUCAAAAGGGUCAUAAAAUUUCUUUUAUUUCGACUCCCAGAAACAUAGAUCGUCUCCCAAAACUUUCCCCAAAUCUUACCCCGUUUUUAAAUUUUGUCAAACUUCCAAUGCCUUAUGUGGAAAAUUUGCCGGAAAAUGCAGAAGCCACUACCGAUGUAACUUAUGAGCAAGUCAAAUACCUCAAACUUGCUCAAGAUGGACUCGAAGAAUCCAUGGCUAAGUUUCUCGAAGAUUCAGAUCUUGAUUUUAUACUAUUCGAUUUUACUUCUUACUGGGUUCCUUCAAUUGCUUCAAAAUUCAACAUUCGGUCAGGUCAUUUCAGCAUAUACAUCGCUGCGUUUCUGGGUUUCACCGGACCUGUACCGGGAUUAAACAAUGAUUAUGAAAUUCGUACAACGCCGGAGGAAUAUACCGUUCCCCCAAAAUGGGUUCCGUUUGAAACUACAGUUGCUUUCAAGCUUUUCGAAGUCUUGAGAAUCUUCGAAGCUACCAUGAAGGGAGAGGAAGAGAACAUUGCUGAUAUUACUCGUUACUAUAAAUCAGUUGAAAAUUGUGAUUUUUUGUUUGUGAGGAGCUGUUCGGAAUUAGAACCAGAAUGGUUGAAAGUUCUCGGAGAUAUUCACCGGAAACCGGUUUUGCCGGUGGGUCAACUUCCGACAACACCGUACGAAGAUGACAGCACGAAGAUCGAUGCGUGGAUAGAGAUAAAACUAUGGCUUGAUAAGCGAGAAAAGGGGAAAGUGAUUUAUGUUGCAUUUGGUAGUGAGGCAAAAUCGAGUCAAAAUGAGCUCAUUGAGUUAUCACUUGGAUUAGAGCUUUCUGGGUUAUCAUUUCUCUGGGUUUUAAGAACUAAAAGAGGAGAAUCGGAUGAUGAGUUGGUUCAAUUACCAGAAGGAUUCGAAGAUCGAAUGAAGGGAAGAGGAAUAGUGUGCACGAGUUGGGCACCACAACUCAAGAUAUUGAGUCAUGACUCAGUUGGUGGAUUUUUGACACAUUCAGGAUGGAGUUCAGUAGUCGAGGCAAUACAAUAUGAGAAGCCAUUAGUUCUCUUAACAUUCUCUGCUGAUCAAGGGAUAAAUGCUAGGCUCUUGGAGGAGAAAAAGAUAGCGUAUUCAAUACCAAGAGAUGAUUGUGACGGGUCAUUCACUCGUGACUCAGUAGCUAAGUCACUAAAUUUGGUACUCAUUGAAAAAGAGGGUGAAAUUUAUCGAGAAAAAGUUAAACAGAUGAAAAGUCUUUUUUGUGACAAAGAAAGACAAGAUAAUUAUGUGGAUAAUUUAUUGUGUUAUCUUCAAAAUUAUAAGAAGACUAUUCCAUAAGAAGCGCAAAAAAAACUUGGUUUUGCUUUAUUAUUUGAAUAAUAUAAUAAUAAUGGUUAAUUUGUCCUCAAUUAUUUUAUUGAGUUUUAAUUAUUUUUUUAAAUAUAUAGGAAAAUAAUUGUCUAAACUAUUUAUAGUCUUUAUUGAGUUGAUAUCAUUGUAUUUAAAAGGCUUAAGUCAUAUGUAGCCAUUUAAAGUUGUCCGCAUAUUUCACUUGAAUACCUUAUCUUAUGUUUGUUUCAAUUAAACACCUUUAUAAGCAAAAAAAAAAAAAAAACCUAUUGAAUAUUUUUUUACCAUCAUCCACUUGCGAUGACAUGGCUUAAUGCUAAUCAGAAAAAAGCACGUGGCCUUGGAUCCAUAAUAACAAUUAAAAAAAUACAUUAAAAAUAAAAUGAAAUAAAAUUUUGUUUUCAUCCCCUAAAAAGAAUUGGAAAUACCUUUCUCUCCAAUUUCUUCUUUGCCAAAGACCCAGGCACCCACCCAUCCCGACGUUCAUCGUUUUUUAAUUUUUUGUUUGCUAGUACACACAGUCGCUUUCGACUGAAACCAUCCAUUCUCCAAUAAUUAUUUUCACAUUGAUUCCCACACAAACUUUGCCUCCUCUCCUUUAACGAUUUCAAAGAAAAUAAUAUUUUAUAUUUAUAUUAGUCUUGUCGGAAAAAAUAGAGUUUCAUCAGAAUUGUUCUUGACGCAAUUUAAUUUUUAUUUUUGAUGAAAUUCUCUUCUAUAACUCAAAUUAAAAUCUUUAUCAGGUAAAUUCUUUUGAUUUUUGUGUUUUGACUAAUUAUUACAAAUGAAUUGAUGUUUUUGUUGGGUUUUAGCAAGUGUGAAUGGAAAAAAAAAAGAGAGAAUAUCAAAAGUGAGGGAACUACUUUGGAGGGAAAAUGAAAAGUCAUUUGCAAAGUGCAAAUGAAAAGUCAUUUCUUUGGAUUUGGAUUUGGAUUUGGCAAAUGAUGUGAUUGAUUGAUAAAUUUUUUGGACAAAAUUUAUUUAAUCAAUUUUUGUUAAAUCAAAUAAAUCCUGUUAAUAUUAUCUCUUAUAAAUUUGCGGGUAAUAGUAACAUUCUGAAAAGUCGUUACUUUCCAAAAAGUAGUUAUUUUCCUAACAGACACAAUUUUUCAAAAAAAGUUGUUAUUUUUUCCAAAAGACACAACUUUCUGGAUAAAAUGGGUCUGAACAGAUUUCACUGAACAGACAUGUUCCUUGCUGAAAAUGGCUAUAAAAGGAAGUCAAUUUUUGUUUUUUUAAUCACUGAAAAUUUUCUUUCUCUGCAUUUAUUUUUUCUCUCAAAAUAAAAUCAAAGUGUCGAUCGACUGAGUCUGUGUGACUUGUUGUUGUUCUUCAUUUCGUUGAAGUUAAAGAAGUUUGAGGUACCGCUAUUUCUUUAACAGAUUUAAUCCGUUUUAUCUUGGGAGAAAUUAAUCCAUAACCUUGGGUACAGUGAGGGGAUUAAAUUUCUUAAGGACACACAGUAGUUUCUGUGGAUUCGGAUUAUUUCUUGUAUUUUAAAUUUUUUCUGCUUCAUCUUAUUUCUGUUUCUGUUCAUUAACUUCAUAAAUACAAGUUAUUGUAGGAAUAACAGUUUUUGCGUUGAAAAAGCAGCUAUGACUAUAUCGAUGAUGGCGGCAUGAUACUAGAAAGAAAGAAAGAAUGAAGAAUUAGGCGGGAAAGAGGUAUGUCAAGGGAUGGUGGCAAAGGAAUUUGUCUAAUGAAAAUAUUGGAUUGAGUAGGGAAGACAAAUUGGGAAAGAUGAUGCCAGAGAUUUUUCAAUUUCUCUUUUAUAUGUUUAAGUUAUACAUUUUUCUGUUAAAAAAAGUUCAAUUUUUUCUAAUGUUGACAUCUCCUUUUUGAUUGGUCUGCUAAAAUAAAUUUCUGGCUUCACGCACUUUCUUAGACCUGAAUACUCUCAUGAUGUAAUGUCACCGAAAAGUAUUUAAUAGGUAUAUGUUUUGAACAGUAAAAGUGUUCAAUAGGUAUAAUGUUUAAUUAAGGUGUCUAAACGAAUUAUACGAUCAACUUUAAGGUUUUGCGAAUGACUUAAGCCCAUUUAAAACUAUAUAUAGGGCCCGUUUGGAUGGGCUUAAUAAAAGCAGCUUUAAAAAAGCACUUUUAAAAGUGCUGAAACUUAUUUUUAAAAUAAGCAGUUAUGCGUUUGGAUAAAAGUGCUGAAGUUGUUAUGUCAAACGUGAAAAGGGAAAAAUGGAAGAAAGAAAUGUUAGGGUUACAUGGGUAAUUUGGAGAUUGUAUAAAAAUAUUAAGCACAAAAAGAUAAAAAUGUGGUCAACUUAAAACAACUUAUAAGCUAAAAAAAAAAGCACCCCUAUUCCAGCUUUUAACUUUUGGCUUAAAAUAAGUUUUUUUUUAAACUUAAAAUAAGCUGUUUUGAGUAUUGCCAAACAACUAAAUAAGUCAAAAACCAGCUUUUAAGUCAAUUUGACCAGCUUUUAAGCUGAGCCAAACAGGCUCAUAAUCUAUUGACCAUUCACAUUACAUAUAUAGUAUAUCGCCAAGACUUUAUAUGACGGAAUCAAUAUUUUUGAUAAAGAAAAGUCUUAACUUACAUAUGCAUUUUUUUUUCUUUUAGGGAGGGUUUAAUCUCAUUUAAUAUUUUCCUAUACAAAUUUAAAUUUAAUGAAAUUUUAACAGUAAUAUCAAACCCCAUGUCACAAUUUAUUUUUUUAUUAUUAAAACAAACAAUUCAAACCCCCAAAUUGUGUAUUUCUGUCAUUUUCUUUUAUGAAUUAUAACAAAGAAAAUAUAUUGUAAAAGUGCAAAGGAUGCAUAAUAGUAUGAUAUAGUAAUACUUUCCUCCUCUUAAAAUGAGUAUUAUUUUGGUUUUUUUAAUUUGCACACUAGGAAAAAAAUAAUAAACAUAAGGAAUUAUUUAUCACGUUUUCAUAUUUACUUUUUUUAAAAUUAGAAUUAAGCAUUAUCAAAAAGUAGUUCAUUAAUAAUAAAUAUAUAGUUAGAAAUAAUAUUAAUCAUUGUCUUAAAUUUUUAUAGCGAUAAUUAUUUUGAGAUAAUUCUUUUUUCUUUCUAAAACAACGCUCAAUUUCAAUCAGAUAAAGUAAUAAAUAUAAUAUAAGAAUUUUGAUGUCAAAGCUCUUAAUUUUUCAUACAUAAACUCUGGCUAACUUUAGGGAAUAUCGAGAUGUAAGGAUCGCUCAAUUGGUUAAUAAAGUAGUUUGUACGCCGAACAAUAAUUGUGGUAAAGUAAUUAGGGUUUUUGAGUUUGAAUUCAUCUGAGUAUAAAGUCGUAUUUGUUAAAGAGUAUUCAACAUUCCGACGGGUUAUUUCAGCAUAUUCGUCGCUGCAUAUCUAGGUUUCACUGGACCUGUACCGGGAUUGAACAACAACUAUGAAAUUCGGAUGACGUUGGAGGAAUUGACAGUUUCCCCAAAAUGGGUUCCGUUUGAAACUGCCGUUGCUUUCAAGGAGUUUGAACUUUUGAG
rnacentral:lncRNA from 1 species